rnacentral:rRNA from 1 species
UACGUAGGGGGCGAGCGUUGUCCGGAAUGAUUGGGCGUAAAGGGCGUGUAGGCGGCUUGUUAAGUCUGAAGUGAAAGUCCUGCUUUCAAGGUGGGAAUUGCUUUGGAUACUGGUAAGCUUGAGUGCAGGAGAGGUUAUCGGAAUUCCCGGUGUAGCGGUGAAAUGCGUAGAGAUCGGGAGGAACACCAGUGGCGAAGGCGGGUAACUGGACUGCAACUGACGCUGAGGCGCGAAAGUGUGGGGAG